GUUAAACUGUGCCGGCCUCCUUUGCUGCACCUCCAACAUCUGGACGGCUCUGUGUGUUUGUUGGUUUGCUGGUGGGAAGGAAAAGGUUAAUAACAUCCACCCCAUGUCAACAAACCUCAUUUUGUUACGGCUGCUCUGCGUGGGCAGGAUUGUUGCUGUUUAACUCAACAAGCCACAGAUGUAACUUUGCUUGUUCAGGCUGACAGCUGAAGGUUGUGGUCGAUCUUUGGACGACUUCCUCCCGUCUGCUGUUGUCAAAGCGGCCCGGUGGUAAAGGAACCGGCGAUGGUUGGAUCUACAUCUCUUUCCUCCACACCGACCCAGCUGCAGCAGUGAAGAGACGGAGGACCAGACUGGUCUCUGAUGCACAUCGAUCUAAUUUACUGCAGCAUUAAUGAACUUCAAUAAAUACAGAAAGUCAUUUUA